UUGGCUCAGAACGAACGCUGGCGGCAUGCUUAACACAUGCAAGUCGAACGGCAGCACAGCAGAGCUUGCUCUGUGGGUGGCGAGUGGCGGACGGGUGAGUAAUGCAUCGGGACCUACCUAGACGUGGGGGAUAACGUAGGGAAACUUACGCUAAUACCGCAUACGUCCUACGGGAGAAAGCGGGGGAUCGCAAGACCUCGCGCGGUUAGAUGGACCGAUGUGCGAUUAGCUAGUUGGUAAGGUAAUGGCUUACCAAGGCGACGAUCGCUAGCUGGUCUGAGAGGAUGAUCAGCCACACUGGGACUGAGACACGGCCCACG
rnacentral:rRNA from 1 species